GUCGGGUGGCGGCGUGCAUCACUAUGACAAGUCGAGCGGUAAGGCCCUUCGGGGUACACGAGCGGCGAACGGGUGAGUAACACGUGAGCAACCUGCCCCUGACUCCGGGAUAAGCGGUGGAAACGCCGUCUAAUACCGGAUACGACCGGCCGCCUCAUGGUGGCCGGUGGAAAGUUCUUCGGUUGGGGAUGGGCUCGCGGCCUAUCAGCUUGUUGGUGGGGUAAAGGCCUACCAAGGCGAUUACGGGUAGCCGGCCUGAGAGGGCGACCGGCCACACUGGGACUGAGACACGGCCCAGACUCCUGCGGGAGGCAGCAGUGGGGAAUAUUGCGCAAUGGGCGAAAGCCUGACGCAGCGACGCCGCGUGGGGGAUGACGGCCUUCGGGUUGUAAACCUCUUUUACCACCAACGCAGGCUCCCAGUUCUCUGGGGGUUGACGGUAGGUGGGGAAUAAGGACCGGCUAACUACGUGCCAGCAGCCGCGGUAAUACGUAGGGUCCGAGCGUUGUCCGGAAUUAUUGGGCGUAAAGAGCUCGUAGGCGGCGUGUCGCGUCUGCUGUGAAAGACCGGGGCUUAACUCCGGUUCUGCAGUGGAUACGGGCAUGCUAGAGGUAGGUAGGGGAGACUGGAAUUCCUGGUGUAGCGGUGAAAUGCGCAGAUAUCAGGAGGAACACCGGUGGCGAAGGCGGGUCUCUGGGCCUUACCUGACGCUGAGGAGCGAAAGCAUGGGGAGCGAACAGGAUUAGAUACCCUGGUAGUCCAUGCCGUAAACGUUGGGCGCUAGGUGUGGGGACUUUCCACGGUUUCCGCGCCGUAGCUAACGCAUUAAGCGCCCCGCCUGGGGAGUACGGCCGCAAGGCUAAAACUCAAAGGAAUUGACGGGGGCCCGCACAAGCGGCGGAGCAUGUUGCUUAAUUCGACGCAACGCGAAGAACCUUACCAAGGUUUGACAUCACCCGUGGACCUGCAGAGAUGUGGGGUCAUUUAGUUGGUGGGUGAC
rnacentral:rRNA from 1 species